GAUGAACGCUAGCUACAGGCUUAACACAUGCAAGUCGAGGGGUAGCAGGGUAGCAAUACCGCUGACGACCGGCGCACGGGUGAGUAACACGUAUCCAACCUUCCCAUAACUCGGGGAUAGCCUUUCGAAAGAAAGAUUAAUACCCGAUGGUACUUAUAUAAGGCAUCUUAAAUAAGUUAAAGAUUUAUUGGUUAUGGAUGGGGAUGCGUUCCAUUAGAUAGUUGGUGAGGUAACGGCUCACCAAGUCUUCGAUGGAUAGGGGUUCUGAGAGGAAGGUCCCCCACAUUGGUACUGAGACACGGACCAAACUCCUACGGGAGGCAGCAGUGAGGAAUAUUGGUCAAUGGGCGAGAGCCUGAACCAGCCAAGUAGCGUGAAGGAUGAAGGUCCUAUGGAUUGUAAACUUCUUUUAUAGUAGAAUAAAGUGACCCACGUGUGGGUUUUGUAUGUAUACUAUGAAUAAGGAUCGGCUAACUCCGUCCAGCAGCCGGGUAAACAUACUCGUA
rnacentral:rRNA from 1 species